rnacentral:ncRNA from 1 species
UUGAUGGUGCCCAUCCGGGCUUAAUAGGGAAACCGGUGUAAAUUCGGUACGGACCCGCCGCUGUGACAGGAGACGAACCCCGGCUUAUGUCACUUCUUCGUCAGCAAAACGGAGAGGGAAGGCCCGGGCAGUAGAACGAUCCUAAAGUCAGAAGACCUGCCAUCUAAGCU